GACGGGGGGUCCUAGCGUUGUUCGGAAUCAUUGGGCGUAAAGCGUGUGCAGGUGGUUUUGCAAGUUAGAUGUGAAAGCCUUGGGCUUAACCCAAGAAGGGCAUUUAAAACUGCAAAACUUGAGUAUGGAAGAGGGUCGUGGAAUUCCUGGUGUAGUGGUGAAAUACGUAGAUAUCAGGAGGAACACCGGUGGCGAAGGCGGCGACCUGGUCCUAUACUGACGCUGAGGUGCGAAAGCGUGGGGAGCAAACAGG
rnacentral:rRNA from 1 species